rnacentral:tRNA from 1 species
GGGCCUGUAGUAUAAUGGUAUUAUACGCCCUUGGCUAGGGUGUGACCCGCGUUCGAAUCGCGGCAGGUCCA